UCCAGACUCCUACGGGAGGCAGCAGUGGGGGAUAUUGCACAAUGGGGGGAACCCUGAUGCAGCGACGCCGCGUGGGUGAAGAAGCGCCUCGGCGCGUAAAGCCCUGUCAGCAGGGAAGAAAAUGACGGUACCUGAAGAAGAAGCCCCGGCUAACUACGUGCCAGCAGCCGCGGUAAUACGUAGGGGGCAAGCGUUAUCCGGAUUUACUGGGUGUAAAGGGGGCGCAGACGGCGAUGCAAGCCAGGAGUGAAAGCCCGGGGCCCAACCCCGGGACUGCUCUGGAAACUGUGCAGCUAGAGUGCAGGAGAGGCAGGCGGAAUUCCUAGUGUAGCGGUGAAAUGCGUAGAUAUUAGGAGGAACACCGGUGGCGAAGGCGGCCUGCUGGACUGUAACUGACGUUGAGGCUCGAAAGCGUGGGGAGCAAACAGGAUUAGAUACCCUGGUAU
rnacentral:rRNA from 1 species